rnacentral:lncRNA from 1 species
AUGUUUACAAGACAGUCCUAUCAUUCGGUUGAAACCACGAUCAAAAUAAAAGCGCAUCUGGCUGCACAUUUGAGAACACACACAGAGACCCGGGCAAGCGAGCGCGCCCAGAAAGAAGAACGGCAGAGAAAAAGAAUCUUCUUAAACUCAAGCCAUCAGAACCUACAUUUCCUAAUUUUCCUGCUGAUGUUGAACUGAAGAACCUCUUUCCAGGAGAAAGCUACAUACGAUAUUGCAGUCUUCAGAAGAACAUCAAAAUUCAUGUACUCCAAAAUUAGACUUCCUUUAUCAGUCUUGUCCAUCCUAACACAACCCUGAUUUCUAUCUGCACAAAACUUCUCUGGGUAUCUUGUAAAGCACACUGACUUGUUCUGUUGUUGUUGUUGUUAUUGUUUUUUGUAUUUUGUUUUGCAGUACUGGAGAUUACAUCCAGAGAGUGCUGAGUGACACUGUCCCCAACCCUUCUAAGUUUUAUUUUGAGACAGCGUCUCUAAAUUGCCCAGGCUGGUCUUAAACUUGCAAUCCUUCUUUGGCCUCCCAAGUAACUAGGAUUACAGACAUCAUGUGAUUCUGAGUCUGGCCUGACUCUCUUAUUCUUUUUCUUUUUAGCAUAGACUUGAACUCAAGGCAAUCCUCCCUGCCUCAGCCUCCUGCGUACUGGGAUUACAGGUGUGAGUUACCACAUCUAUCCUGACCCUCUUUUUUUUUUUUUUUUUGGUAUGGGGAUCGAACUCGGGUCCUUAGCUUGCGAGGCAGGCGGUGGAACCACUGAGCUAAAUCCCCGGCCCCUAUCCUGACACUCUUAAUCUUAACUACUUUUAAUACUUUUUUUCAUAACUGCAAUUCCAAAUCUUUCACUUUAACAGGAAAAGAGAAACUUGUCAUUUCAGGCCCUCAGUUGUAUACUCAGUACUGUCUAGAUUAUAACUUCCAUGCAAUACAGAGAAAAGCGAAAUCUUUUUUUCUUUCCUCUUUUGAAUAUCUACCAAUAAACAGAAGUCAGAAAAGCACGAUUCCGGCCACAGCUCAGGCACUGCUAUGGCACAAGGCCAGCUGACCCUCAUGUUCCAUCAAACUCAUGAAGCUGAUGAACCCUUUUUAUAAAUGCAUUCUGCUUUCCUUGAUUUAUUUCUUCUAUCUCUUCUCAAACAAACACAGGCCUCCUCCAGUUUAAACUCUUUCACUUUAGCACUCCUCCUCAUUGUUGUUUUUUCUGUCACUUACUUCCAAAUUUCCUAACAUUGGGUGGGAGACUAGAGCUACAACUCUUACUUUUUUACCAUUUAAUUUCUCUUUAACCCAUAAAAUAUCGUUCCACCCCCUUACACCAAUGAAAUGGCGCUCUAGGACACCAUCGAUAAGUUUUUAAAGCCAUCCUUGUUAUGAAAAUUUUCACACAUAUACAAAGGAAUCCCUGUGUACCCAUACCAAACUUCAACAGCUGUCCAGUCUGCCAUUCUUGUUUCAGCUAUACCUCUACUAUCCUCUACCCUCAUUCAAUUUUCUUACUGCUUCAUCAGAUAAAACUUAUCUACUUUUUUUUCUUUUUUGAAAGAGCCCAGGCUGGCCUCUAACUCAAAGUGAUCCUUCCAUCUCAGCCUCCUGAAUGCUGGAAUUAUAGGCAUGUGCCACCACCCCCAGAUUUACCUACAUUUUAACUGUGAUUUUUUUUUUUUUUUUUUUUUUGGUAUCCAGGAUCGAACUUGGGACCUUGUGCUUUCGAGGCAGGUGGCGGAACCACUGAGCUAAAUCCCCGGGCCCUUAACUGUGAUUUUUAUUGUAAUUGUGAACUGUAGGACCCCAUCAGACAGAACAUCUUAGCCUCUCCAGAAAAUUGUCAAGUGUCUUUUUAGUUCUUUUUCUUUUUGUUUUUUAAGAGAUAAAGUAUCACUGCGUUGUCCAGGGUGGUCUCAAACCUGCCUCCCUCCUGGCUCAGCCUCCAACCAGCUGAGACUUCCAGCAGGAGCCACCAUGUUCUAUCACUUCCUAAAGAAACAAACCCAGAUGCUUUUUCUCAAUAAUCAACCUCCUUCACUUCUUGGCAGCAGGAGAUGUCACUGAUUGCACGUUCUUGAAACACGUCCUUCUUGAUUUCUAUGAUGCAAAAGUACCUGAAUCCAUCCUGAGGUGAUGUCACUUUUACCUCCAAAUACACCGUAAGUCUGUUUUCUUCAACCUCCAGUGCCACCACACCAGUAUAGCUGCCAUCUUCUCUCACCUGACAGCUUCAAGUGGCUUCUCACUGGGCUUCCUUUUUCUCCUGCUGCCUCUUCCCACCCUCUUUCCAUGGUGGCUGGGAUGAUUUCUUAAAACACACAGAUCAGGUUUCUCCCCAGCAGAACAGCCAUUAGCAGCUGCCCGGUAAGGGAAGAAGUCCACCUUCCACACCACAGCCUUCAAGGUGCAAGGCCUCUGCCUCCCUCUCUAAUCUGCUAUCACACUUGGCCAUGUGGGCUUGUGACGUUCUUGAAAGAGGCUGAGGGCUUCUGCAGCCAUUUCCUCCAUCUAGAACAUUGUUCUCCUGCUCUUCAUGGAGCAGGCUCCCGUGUCCUUUAGCUCACAGCUGAAAUCUCUAUCCUUGAAUAGCCUAAGCUCCUCUUCCCAAUUACUCUCUAUUGCAUCACUUCAUUCUCUUUUUCUUCAAUGUACUUACCAUAAUCUAUAAUUAUUAUUUUUAUUGAUAUUUGUGUCUUCUGUUAAAAUGUAAGUACCUUCAGAAAAGGAACCCUGUCUUUUUGGUUAAUUGAAUUCCCUGAACAGACAUUUAAGAAUUAUUGAAAAAAAGGCAGAUUUAGCUCAAAACCAUUAUGUUUUGUAGAAAAUUCCCUUUCUGCUCUCAAAACCAGCCAUCUUUCCUGCUGUCUGUUCAGACACCCACAAAUUAUGUUAUCAUAAUACUACAAUAAAUUCCCACAUUAAUAUGAAGUCAUUACAAAUACAGUAUUUUUAAAAAGGAAAAGCAAAAUAAAAAAAAGGAAAAGCAACACAGGAAGAAAAAUAUGUAUAUAACCUGAAUUAAACUAAGACUGAUGAAGUUAUGGUCUAAUUUCUGAUAACAGAGGCAUGAAUGUUCUUUCGUUUAAUUGAUCUUGAACUGAUAAAGUAUUAAGUAACUGAAAAAUCAAGAAAGUUAGUCUUUUUUUGUUUUCCUCCAAAAAUGAAGGUAGAAGGAACAAUAAAAUAUUCUAUAUUGGUCUUAUUACAUGUUCACCAAGCAAUCUUCCAAUUACAACCUAGCUUUCCAGGGAGAGACUGUAUUAUUAGAGGAUCCUAUAAUCUAUCUUCCUUAACAUUAGAUUUCCUUAUAAAUUAAUA